rnacentral:rRNA from 1 species
GAUGAACGCUGGCGGCGUGCCUAAUACAUGCAAGUCGAGCGAACGGACGAGAAGCUUGCUUCUCUGAUGUUAGCGGCGGACGGGUGAGUAACACGUGGAUAACCUACCUAUAAGACUGGGAUAACUUCGGGAAACCGGAGCUAAUACCGGAUAAUAUUUUGAACCGCAUGGUUCAAAAGUGAAAGACGGUCUUGCUGUCACUUAUAGAUGGAUCCGCGCUGCAUUAGCUAGUUGGUAAGGUAACGGCUUACCAAGGCAACGAUGCAUAGCCGACCUGAGAGGGUGGUCGGCCACACUGGAACUGAGACACGGUCCAGACUCCUGCGGGAGGCAGCAGUAGAGAAUCUUCCGCAAUGGGCGAAAGCCUGACGGAGCAACGCCGCGUGAGUGAUGAAGGUCUUCGGAUCGUAAAACUCUGUUAUUAGGGAAGAACAUAUGUGUAAGUAACUGUGCACAUCUUGACGGUACCUAAUCAGAAAGCCACGGCUAACUACGUG